CCAUAGGGUACCACUAGUGUUCCGUAUUUUUUUUCUCGAAGACUACGCAAACUAGCGAAAAACGGGUGGCAGUUCCUGUUACUAGAAAUGCCAGUGUUGCAUUACAACCAAAAUAAAACAUAGGGUCAUGCGGCUCAAAUUGCCUUAAAAUGCAGUUGAAAAAAAUCGUCUACUUUUUUCGCUUAAUGAAAAAGGCAUAUUUUUAAUGGCUCCGACG
rnacentral:lncRNA from 1 species